AAAUUAAAAAGAUCAUAUCAUAAGCAACAAGUGUACUAAGUUUCAAGUUGAUUGGACUUCAGCUUCAUCAAAAACUACCUUGACCAAAAACUUUAACCUGAAACUCCCACUUUCAUUUUCUAUGUUCAGUGGACCGUGAAAUUGGGGUCAAAAGUCUAAUUUGGCUUAAAAAUUAGAAAGAUCAUCUCAUAAGCAACAAAUGUACUAAGUUUCAAGUUGAUUGGACUUCAGCUUCA
rnacentral:lncRNA from 1 species